UACAGAGGUCUCAAGCGUUGUUCGGAUUCAUUGGGCGUAAAGAGCUCGUAGGCGGUUUGGUAAGUUGGAUGUGAAAUCUCCAGGCUCAACUUGGAGGGGUCAUUCGAUACUGCCAUGACUAGAGUUCGGUAGGGGAGUGUGGAAUUCCUGGUGGAGCGGUGAAAUGCGCAGAUAUCAGGAGGAACACCCGUAGCGAAGGCGGCACUCUGGGCCGGAACUGACGCUGAGGAGCGAAAGCGUGGGGAGCGAACAGG
rnacentral:rRNA from 1 species